AGACAUGCACCCAACACCAGAGCUGAAAACACCUCUGAAAGGGGGUGGACACCACGUCAAAAUGGUAGAGGAGUAGGGGCUGAAACCAGACGUGGUUCCUCCUGAUGAUGUCUUGAGCUAACUGGAUCCUAUAAAGGAGCUGUUGUGGUAGCAGACCAUGAAAUAUGGUUGAAAUUCCUAGUUUUCUUUAUAUGCGGCAAACUGGUAGAAUAUUU